GGACGGGAUUGGGAGCUUGCUCCCAUGAUGAGUGGCGCACGGGUGCGUAACACGUAUGUAACCUACCCAUAUCAGGGGGAUAGCCUCUCGAAAGAGAGAUUAAGCCCGCAUAAAAUCACAGCCUGGCAUCAGGUAAUGAUCAAAUAUUUAUAGGAUAUGGAUGGGCAUGCGGAACAUUAGCUAGUUGGUGUGGUAACGGCAUACCAAGGCUACGAUGUUUAGGGGAUCUGAGAGGAUGACCCCCCACACUGGUACUGAGACACGGACCAGACUCCUACGGGAGGCAGCAGUAAGGAAUAUUGGUCAAUGGGCGGAAGCCUGAACCAGCCAUGCCGCGUGCAGGAAGACGGCCCUACGGGUUGUAAACUGCUUUUGCAGGGGAAUAAACCCCCGUACGUGUACGGGGCUGAAUGUACCUUGAGAAUAAGGAUCGGCUAACUCCGUGCCAGCAGCCGCGGUAAUACGGAGGAUCCAAGCGUUAUCCGGAUUUAUUGGGUUUAAAGGGUGCGUAGGCGGCUUAUUAAGUCAGGUGUGAAAGACGGCAGCUCAACUGUCGCAGUGCCCUUGAUACUGAUGAGCUUGAAUGUACUUGAAGU
rnacentral:rRNA from 1 species